AAACCAAUACAAUAUUGUAAAGUUAAAAAAUAAAAUUAAAUUAAAAAAAACCAAAGAUUAAAAAAAAAAAAUAGAUCCAAACUGUAAUCUCUUCUCACCAACUCUAACAUGAUCACUAUACUCUCCCAUCAUUGCUUCUGUAGUGUAACCAGAACCCCUAGUCACUACAUUCUACUCUCUAAUGGUUGCUAGGGUAAUACUCUACAAAGUAGAUUUGGCAGCCAUGGAAAUGUGCUGCUCAGAUCUGCUUUCGGAAGCAUACCAGUGAAGCCAGCUACUGCUCCUUCAAGUAUGUCACCAUAUCUGUGCCAAGGCUGUGCUUCUCAAAGUUUGCUCCUAGUCAAUGAUCGAGCAUAAUGGGUGUACUGAUGCAGACCCAUUCCUAUAAGAUGUAGGAUUCUGCCAGAAUCCAAUCUACAUUGAGAUCUGAAGUCUUUCCUCAACUACUCCAGCUGUCAUAGGCAUUCGCACCAAUUUAGUUCUAAAUUUGAAGAACUCCAUUCUCAGACACAUCAAAAUCAAACUGUUGAAAACUUAAAGAAAAACGUCUGAAAAGAGCUAGAGGAAAAAAGUGACACAUUAGUUCUAGAAGAACAAUUAUCUGAAUGGCAGGAUAUUUCUCAUCUAAAGCCAUGGAGGCAUGAAGGAAGUGGGCAAUAUUUCUAAAGUGCUGAGAGAAAAGAGCUGUCAACCCAGAAAUCAUAGUCAGUGAAAAUAUCCUUCAGGAAUGAAGGUGAAAUGAAGAUAUUCUCAGAUAAAAGGAAACUAAGUAAAUUUGCUUAUUGCUUAAAAAUAAUCCUGAAGAAUGUUUUUCAAAUGGGAGGUGAAUAACCCUAGAGGGAAACUUGGAACACUGGGAAUAAAGAACAAGAAGAAAUGGUAAAAAAAAAAA